GUGGUUGAUUGCCUUUCCCUUUGUAGUCGGAAAGACAUCCUUCGAUGGGAUCGAAGCAGCACCUUCCCCUUACUCUGAAAGACUGCCAAAUCAUUCCCUGGAGGGGUAGGAUUAUCAGGACAUGUCCCAGAACCACACUGACAUCUCUUACAGGAAGUGAUAGUUGGAAAGCUUAUUGGCUCCAAUCCCGGGUUCUUGAUUCACCGGUAGCCAUCUAGCUCAAGGCUCAAUUGGGUUCCGUUAGUAUGGAAACUUGGGAAGCGUCCUCCCUUUCCGGAGAUUGAAUUUAAUUCCGCAUUCUCAAAAUGCCCUCUUAAUCUCCAUAUUGAUCAGUUUUAUCGCAUUCGAUAUUGUUUUCUGUACUUGUAUGAUUCAUUCUUUCUGCUAGGCUGACUGUUUUGAGAAUAUUUCACGGCCUUCCUGAUCCUGUUCGCAGCUAUGGCUCGUAUCCUCUCAACUUGAAAUCCUCCAAUAGGAUCACUUCAGGAAUAGGCUCAGAGUAUCAGAAAUUCAUGAAGAGGAAGCCUCAUCUCCUUCUGCUCUAACGACCUCAGUCAGUUCACUCAAGUGGAAGAAUUCUACUGCUUCCCAGUUCACUCAGGGCCCGUCAGCAGUCCAAAACCAAGCUCCUCCCCCGCAAGUGCGCGUCCCCCAUAGGCUACUGUUGCAGAGACUUGCCAGCUCUCUGCUGGUUUUACUCCCCAAACUCAUCGUCCUGUGCUUCCGAAUGUCCAUUUUUUAAGAUCCGAGCUCUCCAGCCUUGAGAAGUACCAGAGGAACUGAAAACUUCUGAAAAAUGAAAGUUCGUUCUAUCAUGGAUUUGCCUGAUGAUUGCCUCAUUUUCAUUUUCAAAUCUCUACACUGUGGGCUCGAUCGGGACCCAUUUGGGCUAACCUGCCGGCGGUGGCUGCGGAUUCAGAACACAACCCGUCGAUCAUGGCUGCACCGAGUUGGCGGACUCAGGACUGGCCCGGUUGCCAUCCUGUGGGCACAACCUUCGAGCUCUCCAUCUCGACUGCUGUUUGGGGAUCACCCAUGACGGGAUAUCUGUGAUAAGCACCAGUUGUCCCAAUUUAACUGUCAUCAGUCUUUACCGCUGCAAGGUCCCCGAUGCCGGUCUUGACUCACUGGCCCAUUCUUGCUCGGGCCUGAGAGGUGUGAAUCUUGAGUGCUAUUAUCUCAUUACUUGAUUGCAGGAUUAGCCCCAGAGAUGUCGAGAGCUUUGGGCUGUAAAGGUCUCCUCUCUAUGACUCCAAGCUGCAUCGAGUUCCCAGGAUGUUCGCACACUUCACCUUAUCCUGUAGGCUCGAACAUGAGAUGGUUGUAGUAGGGUGUCAGUUUUGUACAUGAGCGGUACUUGCCGGACACAAUCGAGCUGCUCACACUCCAUAGAGGCUCGGUUGAGAUCAGGGAGCAAGAAGUGUGUAGGACCCCAUCAGACAAAUCGAUGACAUAGCUAGGUUGGACAAGGAUAUAACGUACCUAGAUUGAGCAACAUCAUACGUCCAAUCUCCGGAAACAAUGCAGCACUCUGAUGAAUAGAAGC